GAGAGAGAGAGAGAGAGAGAGAGAGCGUAAAGGAGGGGGCAACAGUUCAUACUCAUAUUUAUGCCUUCCUACACUUUACACCUCUCACAGCUCUUGGACCAACUCAGAAAUAGAGUGAGGAGAACACGCCGGUGUACCGCUUAUCUCAGCAGCUCUCUUUGUACAGGAGCCACCUCGCCUGCCAUUCCUCCGGUAACCACGGAGACGCAGAGUCCUCGGGUCCAUUGUCCUCAGCUACAUUCGGAACGGGUGUCCGUUUAAAAAAUAUAUAUUAUGCAUAUCGGGUCGUGUGGGAAAGCCACAAAUCCUUUUCAGAACGAGUCCAGGUGUUUGGAACCGUGAAGACCUCUAACGUGUAGUAUGAUGCAGCCUCUGGCCUGUGAGUGACCAUGGGGCUGGGAGACAUGACUCAGGGCCAGUCUGGGCCCCCUUCCCAUUUCCAUCACUCAUCUACAGGGGUCAGGAGACAGAGACAUGAGGAGAGAUGCCUGGCUGGAGGAGAGACACCAUCUCUCUGACUGACCCAGGAGAAAAAAGGAGGGCCCCUCUUGACUCCCAAGACCAUUGGGCAUCCAUCCAACACGACAUUCACUCACCCUCUAUAAGGUCUAUCUGAAAGUACAGACACCAUACCGUAUCUAUAUCACAGAGCAAAUGGCAGUGCAGUGUUAUAGUAAGAUAAGUCCAGAUCUUAACUGCAGGCAAAUUAUCAAAAACAAGACAGGAAAACAAGAAUGGAUGGUGUGAAAACAAAGCGGCUAGAUCUUUAUCAUCCACUAAUAUUUACAAGUCUCUUAAACCAAAAACAUACAAUUUUUUUUAUCUGGUCUCACAAUAAGUCACAUGACAUUCUGGAGCCAGAGUCGUUACCUCUAGAAGAGAGCAGAUAUGAGAGCUACAGCUCCUUGAAGGUCAAUCCAAUUCACGUGACAUGUCCCGCUGAGCUGUACAUUCAUGGUAACAUGGUGGUGUUUAUGUGGACCAAUAGCCUGGUCCCUGGACACAUGUCUAUAGUCCAUAUAUGGUGUUUUUGAGGAAUGAGGAGGAGGUUGGCUGGUGAUACGGCGCACGUGGGAGAGGGUGGGUACAAAACGAGCAGCGCUGACUGGGUAUGAGAGUCAGGCAGGCUAGACUAUAUCAUCCUAUGUCUCUCAACCAUACACAGUAGCCUAUAUCAUGUUUGUUCCUUUCCUAUUUGUACACAUUGUCUCUCUCUGUUUUUAUGUCAUUCUCUAUGACAUAAUCCCCUUCACUUCCACUCCUUAUCUCCUUUUCUCUCCAUCGUCUCCUUAGCCUUUCCCGCCAUUGUUCGUCUCCGUCUCACACACACUGUUCCUCUCUCAUUUAUUCUCCUAUAUUUUGCCUCUUCCCUGUAAUUUUCUAUUCACUCUUACUCUGCCUGUCUUUCUAAUUCUACACCUAAAAUGAUGGCUACACUCACUCUCUGCCUCUCUAUCUCUCUACACUCUUGAGGUGACACUGGUGAUGUGCACUUGUAUUGUGCCUCUCAGCCAACCCCCUCACAGUCGCUAUCUGUGACGUCAAUGUGUCACAGUCCCAAUGGCCGCUGUCACAUACAGCUAGAGAUAACUACAGUAUCAGCAGCCAAUGGAGUGAUGGGGGGAUGAGGUCUGGACAGAAUUACUGGAUAACUAGAAAGGGAGGAUAGAGGAGGUAGUAGGACUGAUAGUGAGCAAUACAAAAGCAGGAACAUAUUAUAAUAAGAUCAUUAUUUAGGAAAAAGGAAACACACUGACUGACUAACAACUACUGGUGAAAGGGAAAGGAGAGUGCACACUAUAUUAUGAGCAGGACAAGGUUAGCUAUCUACUGUAGCUCCAUGUCUUCCCUGAGAACUACAUAUGGGCCUGAAUAGACAGACUACACUGACUGACAGCAACCACUUCUCAUUGCAAACACGUUCUACAGGGAGAAAUAGCGGAAUGAUUUGAUAAUAGCAAAUCUGUCAUGAUGUUUACAUGCACCUCACUGAGAGAGCAAGAGGGACAGCAGGAGCAAAAGAGCAAAAACAAAUGGCACCUACAAUACCAGUCAUACCCAAAGCUUCAUGCUCAGAUACAGGAUUGAAAUAAUGCAAUACUGUAUUUCAUUUAAUGCAAUACUGUAUUUCAUUAUAUUCAAGGUUAUUCUUAAUAUUUCCUAUAUGCGUUCUGAUGUAGCCUAUCAUAACAUAAACCAAAACAAUAUAGAUGAUAUCCUGAACAGUGGUGGUCUUCUCUUCUCUCCCGCACCUAAAUUGAAUGGAGUCAGCAGCAGCAGCAGCCAACCCUCUCCCAUCAAUGGAGGAACGGGUUCUCCACCACACCACCGUCCUCCAUCGGAUCGGAUCGGCGAUGGCAAGUGAUGGAGAGAAUGGACCGAUGGGAGAGGAGUGGUCUCCUCUCUCCACCUUCGGCACCCCCGGCUCCGGACUCCCCAUCUCCCGACUUCAACACCCUCCGUCUGACGCUACCGAGGGCUUAUGAUGGAGCGGCGGCAGGUUGCCAGGUUUUUUUUUUGCAGCAGGAUCUGGGUGGAACGACAGGGCCCUUAUUGACCACUACAGGUGUAGUUUACGGGAGGACGUCCGCAGGAAGUUAGCGUGUCGGAACACCGCUCUUUCCCUGGAUGAGCUGAUUGACAUGUCCAUUCGACUGGACAAUCUGCUGGCUGCCCGCGGGCGUUCAGAGAGGGUCCUGUGUGUUCCACCACCCAGCCCCUCCGCUCCCAUUCCGAUGGAGUUGGGAGGGGCUGUGCCGAGGGGUACCGGAGGAGGAGGCUUUCCCUGCACCAACUGUGGUCGGAGAGGACACACGGCCGAUUGGUGCUGGGGGGGUCCGUCUGGGAGUAGAGAUGGCAGGCGGAACGCUUCUCGAUCACCCCAGGCAAACGGAAAAAAUACUCUUUGCCUAAGUUGCUAUCUUCUGAGGGUUGUUGAGUCUGUGAGCUGCAGAAUGAGACCAUGAGAGGCCUGUUGGAUUGAGAGCUAUUGGCAGGAGCUUCAGGGACCCAGCCAAGGAGUCGAACAGGCUGAUGAUAAGAGACACUAGGGGUGUAAACAUCUGAGAGCAAUAAGAUCCAGUACAAUAACCAUAUUCAUGGUAUAGAAAUGCAAAUAGAUUAUUUGAAUUGCAGAUGCCUUUGUGAAGUUAUGAUAUAUAUAUAUAAAAAAUGAUGCUCUUAUAACAACACAUGUAUCAAUGAGAUAUACAUGGGUUAUUACCACUUCAAAAUAUAGUGAAUGUAUAAAUGUUUUAGCAUCAAAACUAAGCUUAUGUCUGCAGGAAACCACAUCAAUCUGUUGUCAAUACUUCUUUUGUAUCCAUCUAAUGUGAAACAUUUCUGUGAGUUCACCAGUUUAUCAUGACAGAGGGCAUAGGCCAAACUAAUAGAAUUGCAAUAACCAGGGUUUGCAAUGUGUUUUUCUGUCAGAGAGGAAAAAUGUCCAACUAAAAUCUAUAGUUGAAAUGACCAUAUAGACCAAACUGAAUGAAAAAAAGCCAUUCUAAGAUGAGGUCAUAUCUUCAGUCUUGUGUGCUUUAGCAUAUCACAGAUAUCUUGGCAAGUUAACUUGUGUAUACAACAUCCAUUGGUACUAAUGUUUUAAAUUAAGUGACUGACUGAAGAGAUGUAAAUGUGUAAAUGGAUUUAUUCAGGAAUCCAAUAAACCAA